rnacentral:rRNA from 1 species
GACGAACGCUGGCGGCGUGCCUAACACAUGCAAGUCGAACGGGGUAAUUUCUUCGGAGAUUACUUAGUGGCGAACGGGGGAGUAACGCGUGAGAAACCUGCCUUUCAGUGGGGGACAACAGUUGGAAACGACUGCUAAUACCGCAUAAUGUCAUUUGGGGGGCAUCCCUGAAUGACCAAAGAUUUAUUGCUGAAAGAUGGUCUCGCGUCUGAUUAGCUAGUUGGUGAGGUAACGGCUCACCAAGGCGACGAUCAGUAGCCGGUCUGAGAGGAUGGACGGCCACAUUGGGACUGAGAUACGGCCCAGACUCCUACGGGAGGCAGCAGUGGGGAAUAUUGGGCAAUGGGGGAAACCCUGACCCAGCAACGCCGCGUGAAGGAAGAAGGCCUUCGGGUUGUAAACUUCUUUUACCAGGGACGAACAAAUGACGGUACCUGGAGAAAAAGCAACGGCUAACUACGUGCCAGCAGCCGCCGUAACAC